UACGUAGGGUGCAAGCGUUGUCCGGAAUUAUUGGGCGUAAAGAGCUCGUAGGCGGUUCGUCGCGUCGGCUGUGAAAUCCCGCGGCUCAACCGCGGGUCUGCAGUCGAUACGGGCAGGCUAGAGUUCGGUAGGGGAGACUGGAAUUCCUGGUGUAGCGGUGAAAUGCGCAGAUAUCAGGAGGAACACCGAUGGCGAAGGCAGGUCUCUGGGCCGAUACUGACGCUGAGGAGCGAAAGCGUGGGGAGCGAACAGG
rnacentral:rRNA from 1 species